UACAUGGGGUGCAAACGUUGCUCGGAAUUAUUGGGCGUAAAGCGCACGUAGGCGGUUUGUUAAGUCGGAUGUGAAAUCCCUCGGCUCAACCGAGGAACGUCGAUCGAUACUGCUGUUCUUGAGGAUUGCAGAGGAGACUGGAAUUCCCGGUGUAGCGGUGAAAUGUGUAGAGAUCGGGAGGAACACCGGUGGCGAAGGCGGGUCUCUGGGCAAUUCCUGACGCUGAGGCGCGAAAGCGUGGGGAGCAAACGGG
rnacentral:rRNA from 1 species